rnacentral:rRNA from 1 species
GAUCAUGGCUCAGGAUGAACGCUGGCGGCGUGCCUAACACAUGCAAGUCGAACGAAGCAAUUAAAGGAAGUUUUCGGAUGGAAUUUGAUUGACUGAGUGGCGGACGGGUGAGUAACGCGUGGAUAACCUGCCUCACACUGGGGGAUAACAGUUAGUAAAUAGACUGCUAAUACCGCAUAAGCGCAUAGUACCGCAUGGUACGGUGUGAAACUACCGGUGGUGUGAGAUGGAGUCCGCG